rnacentral:rRNA from 1 species
CCUACGGGUGGCAGCAGUGAGGAAUAUUGGUCAAUGGCCGGGAGUCUGAACCAGCCAAGUCGCGUGAGGGAAGACGGCCCUACGGGUUGUAAACCUCUUUUGUCAGGGAGCAAGGUGCAGGUCGGGACCUUCUUUGAGCGUACCUUAAGAACAAGCAUCGGCUAACUCCGUGCCAGCAGCCGCGGUAAUACGGAGGAUGCGAGCGUUAUCCGGAUUUAUUGGGUUUAAAGGGUGCGCAGGCGGUGGCACAAGUCCGCGGUAAAAUCGCGGGGCUCAACCCCGCUCCGCCGUUGAAACUGUGGCACUUGAGUGCGCGAAGGGUAGGCGGAAUGCGUGGUGUAGCGGUGAAAUGCAUAGAUAUCACGCAGAACUCCGAUCGCGAAGGCAGCCUACCGGAGUGCAACUGACGCUCAUGCACGAAAGCGUGGGGAUCGAACAGGAUUAGAUACCCUUGUAGUC